UGCGCAGCGCAUGUUUCAUAACGAUGUUCGGAAAAGACACGCCUUUGAGCCGUGCGGUGCGAAUAUAUUGCGCGGUCAUAACCUCGGUCAUGGACGCGCGCGUCAUUCGGGCAAUGUAGCCCAUGCCGUAAAGGGCUAUGGUAAGCACCGGGAGAAAGAAAUUCUCAAAGGUUGGAUUG
rnacentral:ncRNA from 1 species